rnacentral:rRNA from 1 species
UACGUAGGUGGCAAGCGUUGUCCGGAUUUACUGGGCGUAAAGAGCGCGCAGGCGGUCAGAUAAGUCGAAUGUGAAAGCCCCCGGCUCAACUGGGGAGGGUCAUUCGAUACUGUUCGACUCGAAGGCAGGAGAGGGAAGUGGAAUUCCCGGUGUAGUGGUGAAAUGCGUAGAUAUCGGGAGGAACACCGGUGGCGAAGGCGACUUCCUGGCCUGUUCUUGACGCUGAGGCGCGAAAGCUAGGGGAGCAAACGGG